UACGUAGGGCGCAAGCGUUGUCCGGAUUUAUUGGGCGUAAAGAGCGUGUAGGCGGCCAUGUAGGUCCGGUGUGAAAACUCGAGGCUUAACCUCGAGAUGUCAUCGGAAACCAUUUGGCUAGAGUCCGGAAGAGGAGAGUGGAAUUCCUGGUGUAGCGGUGAAAUGCGCAGAUAUCAGGAAGAACACCAAUGGCGAAAGCAGCUCUCUGGGACGGUACUGACGCUGAGACGCGAAAGCGUGGGGAGCGAACAGG
rnacentral:rRNA from 1 species